AGAGUUUGAUCCUGGCUCAGGACGAACGCUGGCGGCGUGCUUAACACAUGCAAGUCGAACGAUGAAGUUAUGACGGAGGCUUCGGCCGACAGAAUAAUGGAAUAGUGGCGGACGGGUGAGUAACGCGUGAGUAACCUGCCUUUCAGAGAGGAAUAACAUUUGGAAACGAAUGGUAAUACCACAUAACAUUAUGUUCUCGCAUGGGGAUGUAAUCAAAGAUUUAUCGCUGAGAGAUGGACUCGCGUCCGAUUAGCUGGAUGGUGAGGUAACGGCCCACCAUGGCGACGAUCGGUAGCCGGACUGAGAGGUUGAACGGCCACAUUGGGACUGAGACACGGCCCAGACUCCUACGGGAGGCAGCAGUGGGGAAUAUUGCACAAUGGGGGAAACCCUGAUGCAGCAACGCCGCGUGAAGGAAGACGGUCUUCGGAUUGUAAACUUUUGUUCUUGGUGAAGAAUAAUGACGGUAGCCAAGGAGGAAGCCACGGCUAACUACGUGCCAGCAGCCGCGGUAAUACGUAGGUGGCAAGCGUUAUCCGGAAUUACUGGGUGUAAAGGGAGCGCAGGCGGGAUAGCAAGUCAGCUGUGAAAACUAUGGGCUCAACCCAUAAACUGCAGUUGAAACUGUUAUUCUUGAGUGGAGUAGAGGCAAGCGGAAUUCCGAGUGUAGCGGUGAAAUGCGUAGAUAUUCGGAGGAACACCAGUGGCGAAGGCGGCUUGCUGGGCUCUAACUGACGCUGAGGCUCGAAAGUGUGGGGAGCAAACAGGAUUAGAUACCCUGGUAGUCCACACUGUAAACG
rnacentral:rRNA from 1 species